rnacentral:rRNA from 1 species
UACGUAGGGUGCAAGCGUUAGUCGGAAUUACUGGGCGUAAGGCGUGCGCAGGCGGUUCUAUAAGACAGAUGUGAAAUCCCCGGGCUCAACCUGGGAACUGCAUUUGUGACUGUAGAGCUGGAGUGCGGCAGAGGGGGAUGGAAUUCCGCGUGUAGCAGUGAAAUGCGUAGAUAUGCGGAGGAACACCGAUGGCGAAGGCAAUCCCCUGGGCCUGCACUGACGCUCAUGCACGAAAGCGUGGGGAGCAAACAGG